AGGACGAACGCUGGCGGCGUGCUUAACACAUGCAAGUCGAGCGGAAAGGCCCUUCGGGGUACUCGAGCGGCGAACGGGUGAGUAACACGUGAGUAACCUGCCCCUAGCUCUGGGAUAGCUCCGGGAAACCGGGAUUAAAUACCAGAUACGACCACUUUAGACAUCUGUCGUGGUGGAAAGGAUUCCGGCUAGGGAUGGGCUCGCGGCCUAUCAGCUUGUUGGUGGGGUAACGGCCUACCAAGGCGACGACGGUAGCCGGCCUGAGAGGGCGACCGGCCACACUGGGACUGAGACACGGCCCAGACUCCUACGGGAGGCAGCAGUGGGGAAUAUUGCGCAAUGGGCGAAAGCCUGACGCAGCGACGCCGCGUGGGGGAUGAAGGCCUUCGGGUUGGUAAACCCCGUUUCAGCAGGGACGAAGCGAAAGUGACGGUACCUGCAGAAGAAGCGCCGGCUAACUACGUGCCGGCAGCCGC
rnacentral:rRNA from 1 species